GAUGAAGAACGCAGCGAAAUGUGAUACGUAAUGUGAAUUGCAGAAUUCAGUGAAUCAUCGAAUCUUUGAACGCAUAUUGCGCUCUCUGGUAUUCCGGAGAGCAUGCUUGUUUGAGUAUCAGUAAACACCUCAACUUCCAUAUCUUUUUUGAAAUGGGAGUUGGACUUGAGUGAUCCCAACGCUUUUCCUCACCGAAAAGUGGCGGGUUACUUGAAAUGCAGGUGCAGCUGGACUUUUCUCUGAGCUAUAAGCAUAUCUAUUUAGUCUGCCUAAAAAACAGAUUAUUACCUUUGCUGCAGCUAACAUAAAGGAGAUUAGUUCUUGUGCUGACUGAUGCAGGAUUCACAAAGACAGGCUUCGGCCGACUUUGUAAACUCGAUCUCAAAUCAAGUAAGACUACCCGCUGAACUUAAGCAUAUCAAUAAGCGGAGGA
rnacentral:misc_RNA from 1 species